AAAGACGAGAAACAUAGAGUCCAGAGCCCCCCACAACACACACACACACACACACUCACUUAUUCAGGGGAGACUUAGUUGCACUGCAGUUACAGGUAACCUUCUCAAAUUCUCAGUCACUUUGGUCAACAAAAGUCUCUUGCUCAUGCUGUCUGUCUAGGACAAAUAAGUGUGACGGCCUCUGGGAAGAUGACCAUGGUGGAUUAAGCUCCCCACGGUCACUCAGGGAUCCAAAUUAAAGGAGACUUCUCUAUCUCAUUUACUUUCGGAAGCUCAUGUACUUGAUUACAGGGACAGGGAAAGAAAAGGCCUGGAAAAUUUCACUGUGUCUUUAUUCUGUCCUCCUUUACUAGGAAGUGAAAUCUGUCGCUUCUGCCCAUGUUGCACUGCCCAGUACUCAUCCCAUUGCCCAGCCAACAAAUGAGAGAACCGAGAAGUGCAAUCUUCCACGUACCUGGCAGAAUAGGAGAAGCAGUUAUUGAAGAAACUCAGCAAUGUUUACCACAUGCAUCAAGGGGGCUGGAAAGGAUCCUCAGAGCACAGUUUUAACACAUCAUUCAGUGAGGAGGAAGAUAAGCACAUCUACAUCACCAUGCUUGAGGUGAAUCAAGUGAAAUUAUGAAAAUAGUUUUCAGACUGGAAAGCACAAAAGGGGGAAGGGGACAGUGACUUGCAGUCCUCCUGAGGGGUUCCACGAGAUGGAGACUGGAGAAGGAGCCUUGACCUUGAAACCCCUGGUUCCACAGCUGCAGCUGAGAGAGAUGCUGAACUCCAAUUAGCCAGAAUCUAUGGGGUAGGAGUGGAGAGGAAAAGCCAUGGAUUCAAGAGCCAAAAAAUGUGAACUGAAGAAUAAGUCAACUAUUAACAGGAAGAGGACUGGGUCAACUGUCUGUGAUUUUAUUGUUGUCUAAAGCUUGCUUUUAUGUGCAAAUCACAGUCCUGGGACUAGGAGUCAGAUUUGAUCAUUUAUUCAUUCAACAAGCCUUUAGACUUAUAUUGAACCUUGCUCUGAACACUGCAGUACAUGUGAAAUGAGAUAUGGAGCCUUCAGACACAUUUACGGAUUGCACUUAAAAAAGGAAAAGAAACUUUGAGACUUGGGAGGGACUCCAGAGAACUCUAGCAUUAUUGCUGCUGUUUUUAAAAGGAAGUGAAAAGGGAUACUGAAUAUUUCUUGCAUGAUGUCCCAGCAAGGAAAUUCUAACACCUAGUUUAAAAAAAAGGGAAAAAAAAGAAAGAAAGAAAAAAGGGAAGAUUAAAUCAACUUGGGAAUAAAGCUCUUUUGACCUGGUGACUUAUUGAAGCUGAAAGUCGUUUCCCUUGAUGGUAGUUGAGAUGCCUUGUUUGUACUCACUUGAUCCCUGGUCUCUUUUACCCUGCCCCCAACUCCCAUUUGCCUGAAAACAGUUAAAAGGCGAGGCAGUAAAUCAGGAAGUCUCCAAACACAGCAGGGUUCAGUUUACAGUACUGCAGGGUUAGGGCUUGAAGACUGGAGUCGUCUAAUUCCAUUUUCAAAGGUGAACAUCUAAUGGUGGAUUAUCAUUAAUGACAGACAGCGUGGUGUCAAAGGGUUGUGUCGGGUUCCAGACCUUUUCAUGCUUUAAAUUCCUAUGUUUAAUCAAAGGUUAACCAAAUCAUUGCUGGUAGCAAACUGCGACUUCAAGGUACUGUGGGUGGCCUGUCUUUGCCACUGAAUCAGCCAUUGCUGAUAAGAAAAAGAAUAUUCCGAUAUACACAUUCCUGGUUGUUCACCACUCUAAAAACGGUAACAAUUGGCUCCUGAGAAACUGGGGCUGG